GGGCAAUUUGGACAUGGGCGAAAGCCUGAUCCAGCCAUGCCGCGUGUGUGAUGAAGGUCUUCGGGUUGUAAAGCACUUUAAGGUUGGGAGGAAGGGUUGUCUACUAAUACCGUUGCUGUCCUUGACGUCUACCGACAGAAUAGCACCGGCUCAC
rnacentral:rRNA from 1 species